GAAUUCCUGGUGUAGCGGUGAAAUGCGCAGAUAUCAGGAGGAACACCGAUGGCGAAGGCAGGUCUCUGGGCCACUACUGACGCUGAGAAGCGAAAGCAUGGGGAGCGAACAGGAUUAGAUACCCUGGUAGUCCAUGCCGUAAACGUUGGGAACUAGGUGUGGGUCUCAUUCCACGAGAUCCGUGCCGCAGCUAACGCAUUAAGUUCCCCGCCUGGGGAGUACGGCCGCAAGGCUAAAACUCAAAGGAAUUGACGGGGGCCCGCACAAGCGGCGGAGCAUGCGGAUUAAUUCGAUGCAACGCGAAGAACCUUACCAAGGCUUGACAUAUGCGAGAACGCGGCAGAGAUGUCGUUCUCUUUGGACACUCGCAUACAGGUGGUGCAUGGUUGUCGUCAGCUCGUGUCGUGAGAUGUUGGGUUAAGUCCCGCAACGAGCGCAACCCUCGUUCUAUGUUGCCAGCACGUGAUGGUGGGGACUCAUAGGAGACUGCCGGGGUCAACUCGGAGGAAGGUGGGGAUGACGUCAAAUCAUCAUGCCCCUUAUGUCUUGGGCUUCACGCAUGCUACAAUGGCCGGUACAAAGGGCUGCGAUACCGCGAGGUGGAGCGAAUCCCAAAAAACCGGUCUCAGUUCGGAUUGGGGUCUGCAACUCGACCCCAUGAAGUCGGAGUCGCUAGUAAUCGCAGAUCAG
rnacentral:rRNA from 1 species